CAACUUAAGGUGGUACCCAACACUUGCACUAAAAUUAAUUUGGCUCGUUUAAUUUUUAUAAAAUUUUGUCAAAGUACUUAAUUUCAAAAAUUUUGAACCAACCAUUUUGUCAGAAAAAUUACACUGGUUAUAUAGCAGUUUGACAGACACCAAUUUUUAUCAUUGAGAAGCUUUAUAUUCCCUUUACAACACAACGUAAUCAAAACGUUUAGCUGACUUUACAGAGUUAUCUCCCUGUAGUGUUAAGUACCACCUUAAAUGGUUUAAUUCAAUAAAAUGCAGUCUUUCUUAUACAUUGUUAUAAAGUUUACGAAUUUGCAAUUAUCGAAACAUAUUAACGUACACCAUUGGAAAUAACUUGAUAUUUUCA
rnacentral:lncRNA from 1 species